rnacentral:rRNA from 1 species
GACGAACGCUGGCGGCGUGCCUAAUACAUGCAAGUAGAACGCUGAAGCUUGGUGCUUGCACCGAGCGGAUGAGUUGCGAACGGGUGAGUAACGCGUAGGUAACCUGCCUGGUAGCGGGGGAUAACUAUUGGAAACGAUAGCUAAUACCGCAUAACAGUAGAUGUUGCAUGACAUUUGCUUAAAAGGUGCAAUUGCAUCACUACCAGAUGGACCUGCGUUGUAUUAGCUAGUUGGUGGGGUAACGGCUCACCAAGGCGACGAUACAUAGCCGACCUGAGAGGGUGAUCGGCCACACUGGGACUGAGACACGGCCCAGACUCCUACGGGAGGCAGCAGUAGGGAAUCUUCGGCAAUGGACGGAAGUCUGACCGAGCAACGCCGCGUGAGUGAAGAAGGUUUUCGGAUCGUAAAGCUCUGCUGUAAGAGAAGAACGAGUGUGAGAGUGGAAAGUUCACACUGUGACGGUAUCUUACCAGAAAGGGACGGCUAACUACGUGCCAGCAGCCGCGGUAAUACGUAGGUCCCGAGCGUUGUCCGGAUUUAUUGGGCGUAAAGCGAGCGCAGGCGGUUAGAUAAGUCUGAAGUUAAAGGCUGUGGCUUAACCAUAGUACGCUUUGGAAACUGUUUAACUUGAGUGCAAGAGGGGAGAGUGGAAUUCCAUGUGUAGCGGUGAAAUGCGUAGAUAUAUGGAGGAACACCGGUGGCGAAAGCGGCUCUCUGGCUUGUAACUGACGCUGAGGCUCGAAAGCGUGGGGAGCAAACAGG